rnacentral:rRNA from 1 species
AUAUUGGGCAAUGGACGCAAGUCUGACCCAGCCAUGCCGCGUGCAGGAAGACGGCCUUAUGGGUUGUAAACUGCUUUUAUCAGGGAAUAAACCCUUGUUUGUAAACAAGGCUGAAGGUACCUGAAGAAUAAGCAUCGGCUAACUCCGUGCCAGCAGCCGCGGUAAUACA